AUUUUGAAUUUUCAUUUUUGGAUAACCAAGCAGCUCUUUAAGAAGAAUGCACAGAAGAGUCAUUCUGGCACUUUUGGAUAGUACAUAAGAUUUUCUUUUUUUUUUUUAAAUUUUUUUUAAUAGUCACAUUCAGCUCGCUUGCUCAAACCAGACUCCCACAUUGGGUGAGCAAGAUGAGCCCAUAGGAUUCCAGAGUUAAUACGUAACCGUAUAUACAAACAGCCAAAAAACCAUAAUGGUGCCACAGGGAUGGAGCAGGGAAGGGCAUCUCUAACGUGUCCUCUAGUCUAUCUUCGCUAAACAGAACCCACGUUACACAUGAUAACUAGAGAGCACACUGUGUUGAAACGAGGAUGCUGACCCCAAAUGGCACUUGGCAGCAUGCAGUUUAAAGCAAAAGAGACAUCCUUUAAUAACUGUAUAAAAUCCAGGCAGUUCCAUUAAAGGGGUUAAGAAAACCAACAACAACAAAAAGCGAGGGACUGUCUGUUGUCACUGUCAAAAAGGCACUUGGAGUUAAUGGGACCAGGAUUGGAGGACUCUUAGCUGAUACAGAUUUCAGUACGAUUUCAUUAAAAGGCUUGGAUGUUAAGAGAGGACACUCAGCGGUUCCUGAAGGGAGACGCUGAGAUGGACCGCUGAGAAGCGGAACAGAUGAACACAAAGGAAUCAAAUCUUUACAACCAAAUUGCAUUUAAGCGACAACAAAAAAAGGCAAACCCCAAAACGCAACCUAACCAAAGCAAAAUCUAAGCAAAAUCAGACAACGAAGCAGCGAUGCAUAGCUUUCCUUUGAGAGAACGCAUACCUUGAGACGCUACGUGCCAACCUAAGUUCUCAACGACAGCUUCACAGUAGGAUUAUUGUGAUAAAAAUGACUCAAGCGAUGCAAAAAGUUUCAUCUGUUCCCAGAAUCCGAGGGAGAACUGAGGUGAUCGUUAGAGCAUAGCGACAUCACGUGCGGUUUCUUAAUGUCCCUGGUGGCGGAUACGCCGAGUCCUCGGAAGGACAUCUGGACACCACUUUCAGCCACCUCCUUGCAGGGGCGACAUCCGCCAAAGUCAUCCUUUAUUCCGAGUAAUAACUUUAAUUCCUUUCUAACAUUUACACGGCAAACAGGAAUGCAGUAAACGUCCACGUCCGUCCCACGGCUGGGCUGCCGUUCCGUUUCCUCCACGAACGGGUACGCGCUUCCAUGAGAAAGGAUAUUUGGCAAUUUUAUAUUCCACAGUCAGGUGGGUCUGCGAUAGCUCAUUUAAUGUUAAACGCCAUCAGGGGCCUCUCCUCCCGUUUCUGCCAGGGGCUUUUCUUGUCUUCUCCUUGGUCAUCAUCAUCAUCGUCUUCCUCUUCCUCGUGGGCAGAUCUUCUCUGGUGGGGGCUGGCUGCUGGCUCCGAGGGGGCAUCCGCAGUCCGUCUGGUCGUCUCCUCCUGCAGGCUGGGCAGCUGGCCACCACUUCUCCGACUCGACCCCUCCAACAAGCAUCGCAGGGCACUGUCCUCGGGGGUACAGACCGUGGUCCCACAUUCGCUACCACUCUGUUCCACGUCAUCCAGGUACACGAGCUGCGUGUAGGCCGUGCUGUCUGGGGCUCGAGGCUCUUUCUGCUGGUGCUCUUGGACGGGCGGGUAGUUCUGCUGCAGAGACAAAGCAUCUCCCCUUCCCUUCCGGGCUGAUUUUGGUUCAUUCAUAUCUACGCCAGAGUCCAAACUGGCAUCAUUACUUCCGUUCCUUCCAGCUCUUUGGAGAUCAAUGUAUGAAUGUCUAACGUGAGCGUUGGACCUGCCAUCCAAGGAGACGAACCACGCCCGGGGGUGCGGAAGCGGCUUCCCACCCCCAAGCUCCAUCAGGGCCUUUUCAGUCAGGAGCUGCACCUCACUGUUCAUCUGAGCCAAAGCCGCGUCGUUCAGGGAAGCUGGGAUGGAGAGAGACUCCGACAUGGAUGCGUUCUGAGGGCUCCACUCCCGGGUGCCCGCAUCCUGCAGAACUGCAGCAGAUUAACUGGCCGGGCCGUGGGAAGGACGUAGGUCUCUCGAGGUGAUCUACUGAUCGCGACAUCAUACAUUCAGUGGGUCUGCGGUCCAGCAGCUGUUCUUUCUCAGGUGAUGAAGGCGCGGGGUACAGAUGUUCCUGAAUGGUGAGUUUGCUUCCCGUGGAGGCUGGACCUUCUCUGUCCUGCUUUUCAAAUAAAGGCUGUGAGAGCACGGUGUUGUAACUACCCCUGUAGUCAUCAUUGCCCGAGGACUCGUAGCCUUCUCUUUCCAUAGAUUUUCUUGCCUUUAAGGGAAAAACCUCCACUGACUUAUGGUAGUCUUUCCCCAGCGUCCCACUUGGAGUGAGGUUAUCAAAGGAGAUCUGGCUUUUAUCCUCUUCCUUGCAAGAGAGGAGCUCCUCCCGGGAGCUAAAUUCCUGGGAGGUGCUGUAGGAGAGCUUGAGCAUGGGGGUGUGCAGGUCCCCUUCGCCGCCCGGAGACAUCAUUUCCAAAUGGACUCCACUCAUCAGUUCCUUCGUGCCGGGGGCCUCGGGGCGGCCGUGGCUGGUGACGGACAGCGGGCCAGGGAAUUCUGACGCUCGGCGUGAAAACAGCAAGUUAAUGUGUGACAUGGACGUGGACUGGUCUCUUUUGGAACUCUCCAGUCCUGCAGGGAGCUGCAGUUUUCUGUGGUGCUGACGAGGUUUCAAGCACUUCCUCCUGC
rnacentral:lncRNA from 10 species